CGGACGGGUGAGUAACGCGUGGGUAACCUGCCUCAUACAGGGGGAUAACAGUUAGAAAUGACUGCUAAUACCGCAUAAGCGCACAAAACCGCAUGGUUUGGUGUGAAAAACUGAGGUGGUAUGAGAUGGACCUGCGUCUGAUUAGCUAGUUGGAGAGGUAACGGCUCACCAAGGCAACGAUCAGUAGCCGACCCGAGAGGGUGACCGGCCACAUUGGGACUGAGACACGGCCCAAACUCCUACGGAAGGCAGCAG
rnacentral:rRNA from 1 species